CCAAAUCCUCUGAUGUGUCGUCGCCAACAUUGCGCACGUGGCUUCAACGAAGAUGAAACGACCGACAGCUGUCCUAGCGCCAUGUUCACUCCAUUCGUCUCAGGAAAAACCCAUCCCAACCUGAUUAGAGCAAUGGAGAGAGGGUGGCUUAAAACAGCUAAGCCUUUGCAUAACUCGUCUUCAAGUCAAUCAGAAAAAUUAGGGAGGAUCUGCUGCCUAACCUUCAAACAAAUAUUUUGGAAUUGUCUGAAUUAUAUAAAUUAUUCAAGAUAGAAGAGAAAGGAGAUAAGGAAAGCAGAAAGAAAGCUGAGGAGUGGCAUCAAAAUGGCAAC
rnacentral:lncRNA from 10 species